GCCAUGCCGCGUGUGUGAAGAAGGCCUUCGGGUUGUAAAGCACUUUCAGUCGUGAGGAAGGCGGGUACGUUAAUAGCGUAUUCGUUUGACGUUAGCGACAGAAGAAGCACCGGCUAACUCCGUGCCAGCAGCCGCGGUAAUACGGAGGGUGCGAGCGUUAAUCGGAAUUACUGGGCGUAAAGCGCAUGCAGGUGGUUUGUUAAGUCAGAUGUGAAAGCCCGGGGCUCAACCUCGGAAUUGCAUUUGAAACUGGCAGACUAGAGUACUGUAGAGGGGGGUAGAAUUUCAGGUGUAGCGGUGAAAUGCGUAGAGAUCUGAAGGAAUACCGGUGGCGAAGGCGGCCCCCUGGACAGAUACUGACACUCAGAUGCGAAAGCGUGGGGAGCAAACAGGAUUAGAUACCCUGGUAGUCCACGCCGUAAACGAUGUCUACUUGGAGGUUGUGGCCUUGAGCCGUGGCUUUCGGAGCUAACGCGUUAAGUAGACCGCCUGGGGAGUACGGUCGCAAGAUUAAAACUCAAAUGAAUUGACGGGGGCCCGCACAAGCGGUGGAGCAUGUGGUUUAAUUCGAUGCAACGCGAAGAACCUUACCUACUCUUGACAUCCAGAGAACUUUCCAGAGAUGGAUUGGUGCCUUCGGGAACUCUGAGACAGGUGCUGCAUGGCUGUCGUCAGCUCGUGUUGUGAAAUGUUGGGUUAAGUCCCGCAACGAGCGCAACCCUUAUCCUUGUUUGCCAGCGAGUAAUGUCGGGAACUCCAGGGAGACUGCCGGUGAUAAACCGGAGGAAGGUGGGGACGACGUCAAGUCAUCAUGGCCCUUACGAGUAGGGCUACACACGUGCUACAAUGGCGCAUACAGAGGGCAGCCAACUUGCGAAAGUGAGCGAAUCCCAAAAAGUGCGUCGUAGUCCGGAUUGGAGUCUGCAACUCGACUCCAUGAAGUCGGAAUCGCUAGUAAUCGUGGAUCAGAAUGCCACGGUGAAUACGUUCCCGGGCCUUGUACACACCGCCCGUCACACCAUGGGAGUGGGCUGCAAAAGAAGUAGGUAGUUUAACCUUCGGGGGGACGCUUACCACUUUGUGGUUCAUGACUGGGGUGAAGUCGUAACAAGGUAGCGCUAGGGGAACCUGGCGCUGGAUCACCUCCUUA
rnacentral:rRNA from 1 species